UACGUAGGUGGCAAGCGUUGUCCGGAUUUAUUGGGGUUUAAAGGGUGCGUAGGCGGCCUUGUAAGUCAGUGCUGAAAUAUCCCGGCUUAACCGGGAGGGUGGCAUUGAUACUGCAGGGCUUGAGUAAAGUUGAGGUUGGCGGAAUUGACGGUGUAGCGGUGAAAUGCUUAGAUAUCGUCAAGAACACCGAUAGUGAAGACAGCUAACUAGCUACUGACUACUGAGGCACGAAAGUGUGGGGAUCAAACAGG
rnacentral:rRNA from 1 species